UGGCUCGUAUGAAACUGCUUCCGGUGAGUUCGGGGUUUCGCUGAGCAUUUUCGUCGACAUUUCUGAACCGAUAAUGCCCUUUGAAAUCCUGAACUCAAACUGAAUUCAUCGGACCUGAUGCUG
rnacentral:precursor_RNA from 10 species